AAGAAGCACAAAAAGUAAUAUCCAGUGUUUUGGUACAAUUGGCAUCAGAAGGUACAGUGCAACCAGAUGAUGGAGGAGUCACAGACACCCUUAUUGCAAAAAUUCAAACAGUGGAACCGGGUGUAUAUGCUUACCAAACAACUGCCAAUGAAACUGGUGAAAAUGAAACUGUUGUCGAAGAGACAGUGAACUUGGCAGAAUCUACACAAAAAG